GUACUAAGUCAUAACUACCUAAAAGAGUCUCCGUAGAAAGACUAACUUUUUGGUUGAAAUAAAAACAAGGCUGCUUGUCCCCGAAUUAUUUAUUUAACAUCUGUAGUGCUCGUUCAUCAGGCCGUGGCCGCACUACACAUCAUCCAGACAUGAGCUCCUGGACUGAUGUCUGGGUCACCCCUUCACUGCUAGAAGACCUCUCGCCACACAGGGAAGUGGUGGCAACGUGCCUGAGGGUCGAGACACCAUGCAGCAGUAUUGACACUACACCAUGCUGGAAAAAAUUUAUUAACAAUUAUAAUUUUAGUUCUCGUGUAUAAGUAUGGAAACCAAAUCACAAAUUUGAUUCUUACAAAGUAUUAUAAAAAAUUGUUUUCCAAAUCACUGGAAUGCUCAAUAAAUAUUACUGGUGGGGACACU